rnacentral:rRNA from 1 species
AUGGGAACUGGUGAAAUCAUACCCUCUGAGAAUCAGGCUGAAGAAGAACUGAUCAUUUCUGCACCUGAUCAACCUGAAGACAAUGCUCAGCCUGAAGAUAAUCCUCCAAAUGAUGACAUUGAUCAGAAUGAACAGAAUCUUCGUCCUGCUCACCCUCGUGUUGCAAAUGAAGUACAGAUUGAGAAGAUGAUCGAUAGCCUCAAUGCACCUGGUCCACUCACUCGUUCAAGAGCCACACAAAGAGCAACACAACUCACCAAUUUCUGUGGACACUUUGCAUUCGUCUCAAUCUCAGAACCCAAGAAAGUCACCGAAGCCUUUAUGGAAUCUGAAUGGAUUCAAGCAAUGCAAGAAGAGUUUCAACAGUUUGAGUUGAACAAUGUGUGGGAACUGGUCAAGCGUCUUGAUCCUCGGAAGCACAAUAUCAUUGGCACCAAAUGGAUAUAUCGCAACAAGCAAAAUGAACAUGGUCAGGUGGUCAGAAACAAAGCUCGUCUAGUUGCUCAAGGCUACACUCAAGUGGAAGGGAUUGACUUUGAUGAAACUUUUGCUCCUGUGGCAAGGCUUGAAGCCAUUCGCAUACUGCUAGCCUAUGCAAAUCAUCACAACAUUCUCCUUUAUCAAAUGGAUGUGAAGAGUGCUUUUCUCAAUGGAAAGAUAGAAGAAGAAGUAUAUGUUGCACAACCUCCUGGCUUUGAAGAUCCAAAACAUCCUGAUAUGGUGUACAAGCUCAACAAGGCACUGUAUGGCCUCAAACAAGCCCCUCGCGCUUGGUAUGAUACACUCAAAGACUUCCUGAAGAGCAAAGGCUUCAAACCUGGUUCACUGGAUCCUACCCUCUUCACGAAGACUUAUGACAGUGAACUGUUUGUGUGCUAA